rnacentral:rRNA from 1 species
GAUGAACGCUGGCGGCGUGCCUAAUACAUGCAAGUCGAGCGAACAGAUGAGGAGCUUGCUCCUCUGACGUUAGCGGCGGACGGGUGAGUAACACGUGGAUAACCUACCUAUAAGACUGGGAUAACUUCGGGAAACCGGAGCUAAUACCGGAUAAUAUAUUGAACCGCAUGGUUCAAUAGUGAAAGACGGUUUUGCUGUCACUUAUAGAUGGAUCCGCGCCGCAUUAGCUAGUUGGUAAGGUAACGGCUUACCAAGGCAACGAUGCGUAGCCGACCUGAGAGGGUGAUCGGCCACACUGGAACUGAGACACGGUCCAGACUCCUACGAGAGGCAGCAGUAGGGAAUCUUCCGCAAUGGGCGAAAGCCUGACGGAGCAACGCCGCGUGAGUGAUGAAGGUCUUCGGAUCGUAAAACUCUGUUAUUGGGGAAGAACAAAUGUGUAAGUAACUAUGCACGUCUUGACGGUACCUAAUCAGAAAGCCACGGCUAACUACGUG